UCCCGAUUGGCUCGGGCAGUCUCGUCUGAAAAAUACAACAGACGACAAGGGUUGCGCUCGUUGCGGGACUUAACCCAACAUCUCACGACACGAGCUGACGACGGCCAUGCAACACCUGUCACUGGGUUCCCGAAGGCACUCCGACGUUUCUGCCAGAUUCCCAGGAUGUCAAACCUUGGUAAGGUUCUUCGCGUAGCAUCGAAUUAAACCACAUGCUCCACCGCUUGUGCGGGCCCCCGUCAAUUCCUUUGAGUUUCAACCUUGCGGUCGUACUCCCCAGGCGGGGUACUUCCUGCGUUAGCGCCGGCACCCAGAGGGUCGCUCCCCCAGGCACCUAGUACCCAUCGUUUACGGCGUGGACUAC
rnacentral:misc_RNA from 1 species